rnacentral:lncRNA from 1 species
AACCAUAGGAACUUUAAUCUCCAAUUUCUUGAAGAUCACCAACUUGAACUUAUUUCCCUUCCUAUGAUUUUUCUUUUUAUGAGGAAGAUGUUUUUCAUGUGAUCUUUUCUUCUUUCCUCUCUUCCUCUUUUUCUCAACCUUCUCCUUCUUCCACUUUCUUUUUUUCUUUUUUCUUAUUUUCUUAUUUUUUUUUCUUUUUU